rnacentral:rRNA from 1 species
GACGAACGCUGGCGGCGUGCUUAACACAUGCAAGUCGAACGGAAAGGCCCUGCUUUUGUGGGGUGCUCGAGUGGCGAACGGGUGAGUAACACGUGAGUAACCUGCCCUUGACUUUGGGAUAACUUCAGGAAACUGGGGCUAAUACCGGAUAGGAGCUCCUGCUGCAUGGUGGGGGUUGGAAAGUUUCGGCGGUUGGGGAUGGACUCGCGGCUUAUCAGCUUGUUGGUGGGGUAGUGGCUUACCAAGGCUUGGACGGGUAGCCGGCCUGAGAGGGUGGCCGGCCACAUUGGGACUGAGAUACGGCCCAGACUCCUACGGGAGGCAGCAGUGGGGAAUAUUGCACAAUGGGCGGAAGCCUGAUGCAGCAACGCCGCGUGCGGGAUGACGGCCUUCGGGUUGUAAACCGCUUUCGCCUGUGACGAAGCGUGAGUGACGGUAAUGGGUAAAGAAGCACCGGCUAACUACGUG